rnacentral:rRNA from 1 species
GACGAACGCUGGCGGCGUGCUUAACACAUGCAAGUCGAACGGAAAGGCCCUGCUUUUGUGGGGUGCUCGAGUGGCGAACGGGUGAGUAACACGUGAGUAAACUGCACUUGACUUUGGGAUAAAUUCAGGAAACUGGGGCUAAUACCGGAUAGGAGCUCCUGCUGCGUGGGGGGGGUUGGAAAGUUUCGGCGGUUGGGGAUGGACUAGCGGCUUAUCAGCUUGUUGGUGGGGUAGUGGCUGACCAAGGCUGUGAAGGGUAGCCGGCCUGGGAGCGUGACCGGCCACAUUGGGACUGCGAUACGGCGCAGACUCCUACGGUCGGCAGCAGUGGGGAGUAUUGCACAAUGGGCGGAAGCCUGAUGCAGCAACGCCGCGUGCGGGAUGACGGCCUUCGGGUUGUAAACCGCUUUCGCCUGUGACGAAGCGUGAGUGACGGUACUGGGUAAAGAAGCACCGGCUAACUACGUG